AGGUGGGCCCAGCAGCGCGGCUGCAGCCAAAGGGGUGGAUCUGGCCCUCCCUGAGCAGCUGAUUGGUCGGCUCCCGAAAGCGGCGGCUGCUGCUCCUGGAACUGUCACCUCCGCCUGAGAAGAUGGAAGAGCUGAGUCAAGCCCUGGCUAGUAGCUUUUCUGUGUCUCAAGAUCUGAACAGCACAGCUGCCCCACACCCCCGCCUGUCCCAGUACAAGUCCAAGUACAGUUCCUUGGAGCAGAGUGAGCGGCGCCGCCGAUUAUUGGAACUGCAGAAAUCUAAGCGUCUGGAUUACGUGAAUCAUGCCAGACGACUGGCUGAAGAUGACUGGACAGGGAUGGAGAGUGAGGAAGAAGAAGAUAAGAAAGACGAUGAAGAGAUGGACAUUGACACUGGCAAGAAGUUACCAAAACGCUAUGCUAAUCAAUUGAUGCUGUCUGAAUGGUUGAUUGACGUCCCUCCAGAUCUGGGCCAGGAGUGGAUCGUGGUUGUGUGCCCUGUUGGGAAAAGAGCCCUGAUCGUGGCCUCCAGGGGUUCUACCAGUGCCUACACCAAGGGUGGUUACUGCGUCAACAGGUUUCCUUCCCUUCUGCCGGGAGGCAACAGGCGAAACUCAGUGACAGCAAAAGACUACACCAUUCUGGAUUGCAUUUACAGUGAGGUGAACCAGACCUACUAUGUUCUAGAUGUGAUGUGCUGGCGGGGACACCCUUUUUAUGACUGCCAGACUGAUUUCCGAUUCUACUGGAUGCACUCAAAGUUACCAGAAGAAGAAGGACUGGGAGAGAAAACCAAGCUCAAUCCUUUUAAAUUUGUAGGACUAAAGAAUUUCCCUUGUACCCCUGAGAGCCUGUGUCAGGUGCUGUCAAUGGAUUUCCCUUUUGAGGUAGACGGACUUCUCUUCUACCACAAGCAGACCCACUAUAGCCCUGGCAGCACUCCUCUCGUGGGCUGGCUGCGCCCCUACAUGGUGUCAGAUGUCCUCGGAGUGGCCGUGCCAGCUGGCCCGCUGACCACCAAGCCAGAAUAUGCUGGGCAGCAGCUCCAGCAAAUUAUUGAGCACAAGAGGGGCCAGGAAGGCAUGAGGGAGAAAGUCACACACAAGGCAUCUGGUGAUGGGCGCUAUGAGCUAGAACACCUGUCUACCCCCAAGCAGAAGAGCCCUCCCCUCUGCCUGGACCCCCCUGGGAGCCUCAUGGAGAACUAAACAGGACGGUUCCUUGGGAGUCACAGGACAGUGCUUGCUGGGGAGGAGGACAGCGGCAACAACAGGAAGCGUGUCCCAUUUCCUGUGGCUUCGAUCUGCUCCUCGCACUGCUUUUCACCUUUCUAGGACUUCUUUUAUUGGACAAAAAAGAUUCCACUAUUCUAGUCCAGCAGCACUAGCGUCCUGUGGACAAAAUUUCGGAGGGAUGCAGGUUAGAUCUUGUCUGACCAGCAGUUGUUCCCUUGUGAUGAUUAAUUCUGGGAAUAGAUCUGGGCAGAAGUCGUGGUUCAGUAGAGCCCGAUUACACACAUUCAGCACACCACUGGAACUAGCCUCAGCAUUGGGCUCUUACAGAGCUGCUAAAGCUGACUCUCUAAAAUCGGAGAAGGAAGACAACUACUCCCCCACCCCCAUAAUGAUCCUGCUGGCUGUGGAUUGAAGCAUGCCUACAUCAAUAAGCUCUUUUCUGAGUUUGGGUCAAUUCUGCAAUAAGAACAUUGUGUUCCUCUUGCCAAGAAGCAUGGUGUUGGCUGCCUAGAUGCUACAUGAUCUUCCAAAGGAAGUCUCUUGUUUGUGCUCUCAGCAGGCCAACUAUAUCAUUUCAGGAGCUGUGCAUACUAGCGAGCGUCAUAGAGACUUGGCUGGGCUCUGCUCAGAAAUAAGCAGUCUGAAGGGACUGCUUCCUCAAAGGACACUCAUGGGAGACAGAACACACAAGCCAAACCUAUCACCAUGCACAACUUGGUAUUGUUGAAUAAUAGCUCGAAGAAUGUAUCUUAGAGGAGUGCCCCUUCUAUUUUUAACCAAGAGCCAGUAUUAUCAAUAACUGAAUAGAAUGUGUCGUCUUCUGGUCAUAUUUCUUAUUUAUUAUAAAACCACCUCCUGUCA